GGCGGACGAGGAACCUGUUGAUCCGAAGAAAUAUCUUGAAGAGUCUUGCAAGCCAAAGUGUGUGAAACCAUUACUUGAAUAUCAGGCAUGUGUUAAGAGGAUCCGAGGAGAUGAAACUGGGCAGAAGCACUGCACUGGCAGUAUUUUGAUUACUGGUCUUGUAUUGACAAAUGUGUGGCACGAAAGCUAUUCCAAUUACUGAAGUAAUGGCCAGAGGAUUUUGUUCUACUUUCAAAUUGUAAUAACUGCUUCUGAACAUCCAAUUUUGUUUGGUGAGCUAGGCCAGACUGCCUGUUUUGUUUUCUUGCCUUGUACCGUGCAUAGUUUGAAUUAUGGGGCCUUUGAGUUAUGAUUGGUAAAAUAGAAUCCCGGGCGUUAGGUUUGUCCUAUCUAUUGUGUAUAAGGUUAAGGUUUUUAUGAGGUAAUUGCAAGGGGAAAAAAAAAAAAAAAAAACUGGCAUGAAGCUAAACAUGAGUACAAUUUGAUAUUAGUCAAAGCAAUGUUGUUUGGGUUCU